GUCAAGUCAUCAUGGCCUUUAUGCCCAGGGCUACACACGUGCUACAAUGGGGCGUACAAAGGGUUGCGACAUAGUGAUAUGAAGCUAAUCCCAAAAAGCGCCUCUCAGUUCGGAUUGUAGUCUGCAACUCGACUACAUGAAGCUGGAAUCGCUAGUAAUCGCGCAUCAGCAAUGGCGCGGUGAAUACGUUCCCGGACCUU
rnacentral:rRNA from 1 species